rnacentral:rRNA from 1 species
CGGGAAGAGCCCAAAAUGAAAAGCCAGCUUGCUGGCGUUGUAGUUGAGCGUCUUUGGGGUGUCAGUUCGGGAAAGUGGCAUGGAAAUGUCCGCCGAGGAGGGUGAUAGCCCCGUCCAUCCCGUUCAGGACACUUCGCACUAAGGCGUUUCAGACGAGUCGGGUAGCUUGGGAAUGCUGCUCUAAUUGGUGGUAAAUCUCAUCAAAGGCUAAAUAACGGUGGGAGACCGAUAGCGAACAAGUACCGUGAGGGAAAGAUGAAAAGCACUUUGAAAAGAGGGUAAAAAGAACCUGAAACCGUUACGGGGGAAGCGGAUUGCGUUGGCCUGGUGGCUACCUGUGUGUUCAGCCUUUAUGGUGCAUUGAUGCAGGUGGUUAUUCGUCGUGGCUUUUUGGCGGCUGAUAUUGAGUUGCUGGAGAGUGAGGGCUCCCCUUUUUGGGUGAGGACGACGGAGUGACGACGCGAUACGACCCGUCUUGAAACACGGACCAAGGAGUCUAGCGCGGGUGCGAGUCAAAGGGUAGUAAACCCGUGGGCGAAGUGAAAGCGAGUUUAAAAACUAGCAGUUUGGGGCGGCAUAGAAUCGUUGAUUCUAGGUCCGACCUUGAGCAGUUGCGCUGGGACCCGAAAGAUGGUGAACUAUGCCGGAGUAGGGCGAAGCCAGAAGAAAUUCUGGUGGAGGCUCGUAGCGGUGCUGACGUGCAAAUCGCUCGUCGAACUUGGGUAUAGGGGCGAAAGACUAAUCGAACCAUCUAGUAGCUGGUUUCCUCCGAAGUUUCUCUCAGGAUAGCAGGCCGACAUGCGUUGUUUUGUGCGGUAAAGCGAAUGAUUAGCGCAUUCGGGGGCGUUUAGCCUUCGGGCGAUUCUCAAACUUUAAAUGCGCAAGGGUACCGGUGCUUUGUUGAGCGGUACCGGUA